rnacentral:rRNA from 1 species
UCUACGGGAGGCAGCAGUGGGGAAUAUUGGACAAUGGGCGAAAGCCUGAUCCAGCCAUGCCGCGUGUGUGAAGAAGGUCUUCGGAUUGUAAAGCACUUUAAGUUGGGAGGAAGGGCAUUAACCUAAUACGUUAGUGUUUUGACGUUACCGACAGAAUAAGCACCGGCUAACUCUGUGCCAGCAGCCGCGGUAAU